rnacentral:lncRNA from 1 species
GAUACAAAUUAUCUAGCCAAUGCCGUAAUUAGAGAAAGAGGGGUAUAGAAGCUCUCUACCUUAAUUAUGUCAAACACCUGGCUUAGGUUGCUACUUGCUGCUAAGGGAUCCAUCGAAGUCUAUGCCAUCACUCUCAUGAUCAAAUGAUGUUAGCUAGACGUCAGAAGAAGUUCUUUGAAGUUUGAACGCAUGAAGGCCAAUAAUGGUUGUUGGAUUUAUUAACUUCUGUUUUCCAUAUAUCAUGUAAUAAGUAGAGAGA